rnacentral:lncRNA from 10 species
UCUUCCAACAAGAACCGAUCAGUGUCUUGCAUGUGAUAGAAAUGAAUACUACACAGCCGGAAUGCACACUGAGGACCCUUCAAUGUCAUUCAAAAACUGAGCAUCAUCUUGGAGGGAAUGACCAAGGAAAUUUAAGAAGAAAGAGCAAGAUGGGAAACAAGAAUUUUCUUUUUUUUUUUUUUUUUUUUUUUUUUGAGACCGGAGUCUCGCUCUGUCACCCGGGCUGGAGUGCAGUGGCCGGAUCUCAGCUCACUGCAAGCUCCGCCUCCCAGGUUUACGCCAUUCUCCUGCCUCAGCCUCCCGAGUAGCUGGGACUACAGGCGCCGCCACCUCUUUAAGAAGAAAGAGCAAGAUGGGAAACAAGAAUUUUCAAUUAAAGAGGUAAAAGUCAUUCUGGAGCAAGUGAUUCAAUUUCUAUGUAAAUAUAUGGUUUUGAACAAAUUUCUUAGUCUUUAUUUCUAACUUGAUUGCGCUAUGGUCGAAGAGAUUGUUAUGAUUUCAGUUCUUUUGCAUUUGCUGAGGAGUGUUUUACUUUCAAUUAUGUGAUCUAUUUAAGAGUGUGUGCCGGCCCAGUGCAGUGGCUCACGCCUGUAAUCCCAGCACUUUGGGAAGCUGAGGCGGGUGAAUGAUGAGGUCAGGAGUUUAAGAGCAGCUUGGCCAAGAUGGUGAAACCCCAUCUCUACUAAAAAUACAAAAUUAGCUGGGCGUGAUGUUGGGCGCCUGUAAUCCCAGCUACUUUGGAGGCUGAGGCAGAGAAUUGCUUGUACCCAGGAGGCAGAGGUUGCAGUGAGCCGAGAUCAUGCCACUGCACUCCAACCUGGGGGACAUAGUGAGACUCCAUGUCAAAAAAAAAAAAAAAAAAAAAAGCAUGUGUGCCAGGUGACAAUGGGGAGAAUGUAUAUUCUAUUGUUUUUGAGUAGAGAGUUCCGUAGAUGUCUGUCAGGUCCGUUUGAUCCAGUGCUGAGUUCAGGUCCUGAAUAUUUUUGUUAAUUUUCUGUCUCAAUGAUCUGUCUGAUAUUGCCAGUGGGGUGUUAAAGUCUCCCACUAUUAUUAUGUGGGAGUCUAAGUCUCUUUGAAAGUCUCUAAGAACCUGCAUUUUGGGCAAGUUCUUGCUUUAGGAAUACAGGGUGCUCCUGUGUUGUGUACAUAUAUAUUUAGGAUAGUUAGCUCUUCUUGUCAAAUUG